AUCCAGCUGACGAGUCCCGAAUAGGACGAAACGCGUGUCCUGUCCUGGAU
rfam:Schistosoma mansoni strain Puerto Rico chromosome 7, complete genome